ACUGACAAUCAGAGAAGAUCCUGAUGGUGACCAUGCCAGGAGAGCAGUGCAAAAGGCUGGAAGACUUGGAAGCACAGUAUUUGUAGCAAAUCUGGAUUAUAAAGUUGGCUGGAAGAAACUGAAGGAAGUUUUUAGUAUGGCCAGUGUGGUAGUGUGGGCAGACGUUCUUGAGGAUAAAGAUGGAAAAAGUCGUGGAAUAGGCACUGUCACAUCUGAACCGUCCAUUGAAGCUGUGCAAGCUCUAUCUAAGUUCAAUGGCCAACUGCUAUUUGAUAGACCGAUGCAUGUCAACAUGGACCAGAGGGCCUUACAAAGGGAGAUGUUUUCCCUCCUGAGCAUCCACAACAACUUCCUCAUGGUCUUGGUGGCAUUGAUAUGGGGUUAGAACCAGGAGGGCAGCCUAUUGGUGCCAAUCACCUGAAUAAAGGCAUUGGCAUGGGAAACUUAGGACCUGCAGGAAUGGGAAUGGAAGGCAUAGGAUUUGGAAUAAAUAAAAUGGGAGGCAUGGAGGGACAUUUUGACCAUGGCAUGGAAAACAUGAAUGGCCAUUUUGGAUCUGGAAUGAAUAUGGGCAGAAUAAAUGAAAUCCUAAAUAAUGCACUGAAGAGAGAAGAGAUCAUUGCAAAGCAAGGAGGAGGUGGAGGUGGAGGCAGUGACCCUGGAAUCUAGAGGAUGGGCCCUGGUAUUGAUGGCAUUAGUGGUGCCAGAAUGAAGAGCAUGGGUGCAGGCUUGGGCCAGGCAUGGAUCGUGUGGACUCUCAGAUUGAGUACAUGGGCCUAGUCAUGGACCACAUGGGCCCAUUGAGCAUACGGGCUCUGGCAUUGAGCUCAUAGGCCCACUGGGCCUCGACCACGUGGCCUCUAGCAUCGAGCGUAUGGGCCAGACCAUGGAGCACAUUGGCUCUGGCAUGGAGGGGUGGGCGGUGGCAUGGGCUUGGGCCUCAAGCACGUGGCCACUCCCAUCAACCAUGUGGGCCAAACCAUUGAGCACAUGGGCUCUGGUGUGGAGCGCAUGGGCCUGGGGCGCAUGGGCCCCGCCAUGGGCCCAGCCUUGGGUGCUGGCAUUGAGCACAUGGGCCUGGCCAUGGGUGGUGGUGGCAGAGGCGGUGCCAUCAAGAUGGAACGUGGCAACUUUGGUGGAAGCUUUGCAGGCUCCUUUGGUGGCGCUGGAGGCCAUGCUCGUGGGGUAGCCAGGAAGGCCCACCAGAUAUUUGUGAGAAAUCUCCCAUUUGAUUUUACGUAG